AGUUCCUAUUGUUCUAUGAUACUGAAUGUUUCUAUCUACCAGCAGGAGCCAAAAGAGAAUUGACCUCCGUGAAAAAGCUUCGGCACUAUAUUGUCUACCGGAGAUGACAAUAACGAGUUUCUUAACUCUUAAUGUUUUUCAUAAGUUCUCUUAAUGUUUACUACAGAUACAUGAAGCUACGCGUUAGAAUCACAAGCCAAAUGCCAAAUACCAAAAACCGAAUCAGUAAGUAGAACAUUCUGUAUUUCUCUAUUUUUAAACUUAAGCAUAU
rnacentral:lncRNA from 1 species